GACCCAAUGGCACAGUUGGUUAGUGCGUCUACUCCAAAUUAGAUAGUUUUGCAGCUGUGAAGCAGGAGUCCCUCGUUCGAAUCGGGGUUGGGUCG